GCCGGAUCCUAACCCUCUCCCUAACCUGGGACAGUGGUAUAACACUACAACAUAAGAACGAACCAUGCUCAUUCUAGUUAUAAGAUGUGUAAUGUUUGAACAAUUUGUCCUCCCUGCUCAUUCUAGUUAUAAGAUGUGUAGUGUUUGUACAAUUUAACCUCCAUACUCGUUCUUAAUAUAAGAUGUGUAAUCUUUGUAAUGUAUCAUCUCCCUGCUUAUUGUUUCUAAGAAAGAUGUCAAUGAUUCGGAUAUAGUUUAUGAUAAAUUCGAGGACGUUUUUGUUCUCAAAAU
rnacentral:lncRNA from 1 species